GCAAACUUGGUCAUUUAGAGGAAGUAAAAGUCGUAACAAGGUUUCCGUAGGUGAACCUGCGGAAGGAUCAUUACAAAGUCCUGGCCAGUCGGGCCAAUAUAUAUGACCACUGUAGGUACCGGGGCGGGCUACGCCUGCCGGUGCUGGACAGUUAACCCUUUGUGAACCCCCUUCUUGGCAGUACCUCCUGGGGGGAUGGGUCUGCCGGCAGUAGAUUUGGAAACCCUUUCUGAAAGGAAGCAUUGAUAAUGUCUGAAGGCACAGUCGAAUGACAUGCAAAAACUUUCAACAACGGAUCUCUUGGUUCCCGCAUCGAUGAAGAACGCAGC
rnacentral:misc_RNA from 1 species